rnacentral:rRNA from 1 species
UACGAAGGGGGCUAGCGUUGCUCGGAAUCACUGGGCGGAAAGGGUGCGUAGGCGUGUCUUUAAGUCAGUGGUGAAAUCCUGGAGCUCAACUCCAGAACUGCCUUUGAUACUGAAGAUCUUGAGUUCGGGAGAGGUGAGUGGAACUGCGAGUGUAGAGGUGAAAUUCGUAGAUAUUCGCAAGAACACCAGUAGCGAAGGCGGCACUCUGGGCCGGUACUGACGCUGAGGAGCGAAAGCGUGGGGAGCAAACAGG